UACGUAGGGGGCAAGCGUUGUCCGGAAUCAUUGGGCGUAAAGAGCUCGUAGGCGGUCUGUCGCGUCGGAUGUGAAAAUCCAGGGCUCAACCCUGGACCUGCAUUCGAUACGGGCAGACUAGAGUUCGGCAGGGGAGACUGGAAUUCCUGGUGUAGCGGUGAAAUGCGCAGAUAUCAGGAGGAACACCGGUGGCGAAGGCGGGUCUCUGGGCCGAUACUGACGCUGAGGAGCGAAAGCGUGGGGAGCGAACAGG
rnacentral:rRNA from 1 species